CGAACGGGUGAGUAAUGCGUGACCAACCUGCCCCAUGCUCCAGAAUAGCUCUUGGAAACGGGUGGUAAUGCUGGAUGCUCCAACUUGACGCAUGUCUUGUUGGGAAAGUGUUUAGUGGCAUGGGAUGGGGUCGCGUCCUAUCAGCUUGUAGGCGGGGUAAUGGCCCACCUAGGCUUCGACGGGUAGCCGGCCUGAGAGGGCGGACGGCCACAUUGGGACUGAGAUACGGCCCAGACUCCUACGGGAGGCAGCAGCG
rnacentral:rRNA from 1 species